GGGGGAGGUGUCCACGAGUUGGCAGUAGAGACCCAUUUGAAGGGUGGAGGUAUGGGCCAGCACGUUAUGGAGGUAGAGAAAUCGAUCUUGGAUACUGUUCUAGAAAUUUUCCAGCAUUGAAACUUGACGAAGAAUCAUCCUCCAAAGAUUCCUAGCCCUCUUACACUAACAAAAAAACAUGGUCAAACCUCUCUUCGGAAUCUGAACAGAGGGGGCACAAAGGGAUUUGAGAUAUGGUGUUGAAUCAUAUUUAUUUAGGCACAUUCUCAGCUUAUUUAGAUCCAUACCUUGUUAAAGGUAAUAAAAUCAGCUACCAAGCAAUUUCCAAGCUCACGGCAUGGGGUAAUAGGCAGAAAAGUAUCUUCUUUGGGGAUAUCCAUCUGUAUUUAGAGAAACAAAUUGAUCUACCAUUUCCCCCUCUCCUUCGAAGCCCAUUGAGAAGAAGCUCAUUGCCCCAAAGUAAUUUUUUUUCCAAAGAUAGUAAUUAUGAUUGUUUUCUAAUGUCUUUAAUAUUGACCCAUCAUGAAAGUAUCUUCCUUGAAGAACACGAGAGACUAGGAGAUUGGACUGCAUCAGGAUCCGCCAACCGUUUUGCUAUGAGAGCUUUGUUAAAGCCUUCAAGUUUAUGUUGGGUGUGUUGCCCUAAAC